AACGCACCUUGCACCCUUUGGUAUUCCGAAGGGUACACCCGUUUGAGUGUCAUUGUACUCUCACCUCUUCCCCUUUCUGGUCCAGUAAUUGGAUCGCUUGGGUCGUUGACGGUGGACUUGGACGCUUGCCGUAGCCUUUGCUUAUGGCUCGUCUUAAAUGCAGGAGUGCGACCCCCUUUUGUCGGUGUCAUCCGGUGUGAUAAGCAUCUUCACUGGAGUAUCUUUGAGGGUCAGUGACCUUUGAAGAGCAUCGUUUGGGUGCGGUUUUUGCGCUGCUAACCGUCUUGUGACCGAGACAAUGCUUGACAAAUUUGACCUCAGAUCGGGUGGGACUACCCGCUGAACUUAA
rnacentral:misc_RNA from 1 species